ACCAAGUUUAUCUGCAGGGGAGUGGAGAACGGAAAAUCCCCCAACAGGAAAACACAAAAACCAGGGGCUACUGCUCACACUUAAAAACCCAGAGGGACUCAGAGAAAAGGGAUGCUUAGGCAGGAGAGGAACAGAAGAACAUGCUUUCAUAGCAGAGGGGGUCUUCUUCGACUAUGGGACCAGCCAAGCCAAAAGAAGCUGGUUGGAAGAGUGGGAGAACUCCAUGUUCCAGAGGAGGAGCCAUAAUGAGAGAGGUGCAGGAGAGAGGGACUUGGGAUCCUGAAAGGACAUUGCUCCAAAUCCUGAAGAACACUCCAGAAUGCAUAAGGGCAUUGCAUGGAAGAAGCCCUGGAGAUGAAUGGGAGAAGGAUACCCAAAGGGAUCACAGAAGGACCACGCAGCCAGCAGGAGCAAGACGAUGAGAACAGGCAGUAGCAGCAGUAAGGAAUGAAAGCCGACACAGAAGAAGAAAUUCACCCUGAGUUGAAGGACAAAACAAGGUCCAUGCCCAACUUAAGCAGAAUUAUAACGGGUCAAGAUCUGGCCCACAACUUCUUAUUUAUACUCUGACAAAAUAAAUGGAUCCAUCAAACUGCCAUGCUCUUACUGGAAAGAGAAUUUAACGUGGACAAGUUCGCCCUCCUCUUCAUUCCACUGAUGCCGAUAUGGUCCCUUUCUGGAAGAUUAAAUGUGUUGUUAUCUUGCCUUGUUUCUAUAUCAGCAGCAUCAUUUACCAACAUUCCUUACAUUU